UACGUAGGGUGCAAGCGUUGUCCGGAAUUAUUGGGCGUAAAGAGCUCGUAGGCGGCUUGUCACGUCGACUGUGAAAACCCGGGGCUCAACUCCGGGCCUGCAGUCGAUACGGGCUGGCUUGAGUGCGGUAGGGGAGACUGGAAUUCCCAGUGUAGCGGUGAAAUGCGUAGAUAUUGGGAAGAACACCUGAGGCGAAGGCGGGUUGCUGGGCUGAUACUGACGCUGAGGCGCGAAAGCCAGGGGAGCAAACGGG
rnacentral:rRNA from 1 species